rnacentral:rRNA from 1 species
GAAUGCCUACGGGACGCAGCAGUGGGGAAUAUUGGGCAAUGGGCGCAAGCCUGACCCAGCAACGCCGCGUGAAGGAAGAAGGCUUUCGGGUUGUAAACUUCUUUUAAGAGGGAAGAGUAGAAGACGGUACCUCUUGAAUAAGCCACGGCUAACUACGUGCCAGCAGCCGCGGUAAUACGUAGGUGGCAAGCGUUGUCCGGAUUUACUGGGUGUAAAGGGCGUGUAGCCGGGCCGGCAAGUCAGAUGUGAUAUCCCAAGGCU